rnacentral:rRNA from 1 species
CGAUGAUGCCCAGCUUGCUGGGCGGAUUAGUGGCGAACGGGUGAGUAAUACGUGAGUAACCUGCCCUUGACUCUGGGAUAAGCCUGGGAAACUGGGUCUAAUACUGGAUACUACCUCUUACCGCAUGGUGGGUGGUGGAAAGGGUUUUACUGGUUUUGGAUGGGCUCACGGCCUAUCAGCUUGUUGGUGGGGUAAUGGCUCACCAAGGCGACGACGGGUAGCCGGCCUGAGAGGGUGACCGGCCACACUGGGACUGAGACACGGCCCAGACUCCUACGGGAGGCAGCAGUGGGGAAUAUUGCACAAUGGGCGGAAGCCUGAUGCAGCGACGCCGCGUGAGGGAUGACGGCCUUCGGGUUGUAAACCUCUUUCAGUAGGGAAGAAGCGAGAGUGACGGUACCUGCAGAAGAAGCGCCGGCUAACUACGUGCCAGCAGCCGCGGUAAUACGUAGGGCGCAAGCGUUGUCCGGAAUUAUUGGGCGUAAAGAGCUCGUAGGCGGUUUGUCGCGUCUGCUGUGAAAGCCCGGGGCUCAACCCCGGGUCUGCAGUGGGUACGGGCAGACUAGAGUGCAGUAGGGGAGACUGGAAUUCCUGGUGUAGCGGUGAAAUGCGCAGAUAUCAGGAGGAACACCGAUGGCGAAGGCAGGUCUCUGGGCUGUUACUGACGCUGAGGAGCGAAAGCAUGGGGAGCGAACAGGAUUAGAUACCCUGGUAGUCCAUGCCGUAAACGUUGGGCACUAGGUGUGGGGGACAUUCCACGUUUUCCGCGCCGUAGCUAACGCAUUAAGUGCCCCGCCUGGGGAGUACGGCCGCAAGGCUAAAACUCAAAGGAAUUGACGGGGGCCCGCACAAGCGGCGGAGCAUGCGGAUUAAUUCGAUGCAACGCGAAGAACCUUACCAAGGCUUGACAUUCACCGGACCGCCCCAGAGAUGGGGUUUCCCUUCGGGGCUGGUGGACAGGUGGUGCAUGGUUGUCGUCAGCUCGUGUCGUGAGAUGUUGGGUUAAGUCCCGCAACGAGCGCAACCCUCGUUCUAUGUUGCCAGCACGUGAUGGUGGGGACUCAUAGGAGACUGCCGGGGUCAACUCGGAGGAAGGUGGGGAUGACGUCAAAUCAUCAUGCCCCUUAUGUCUUGGGCUUCACGCAUGCUACAAUGGCCGGUACAAAGGGUUGCGAUACUGUGAGGUGGAGCUAAUCCCAAAAAGCCGGUCUCAGUUCGGAUUGAGGUCUGCAACUCGACCUCAUGAAGUCGGAGUCGCUAGUAAUCGCAGAUCAGCAACGCUGCGGUGAAUACGUUCCCGGGCCUUGUACACACCGCCCGUCAAGUCACGAAAGUUGGUAACACCCGAAGCCGGUGGCCUAA